rnacentral:rRNA from 2 species
AGCAUAGCGAUUUGGGAUAAGUCCCUUGGAAGAGGGCAGCAUGGAGGGUGAUACUCCCGUCUCUGCUCAGAUCUGUUGUGUGUACGAUACGCUUUCUUUGAGUCGAGUUGCUUGGGAAUGCAGCUCAAAGUAGGUGGUAAAUUCCAUCUAAAGCUAAAUAUUGGUGCGAGACCGAUAGCGAACAAGUACCGUGAGGGGAAGAUGAAAAGAACUUUGAAAAGAGAGUUAAAGAGUACCUGAAACUGUUGAAAGGGAACCGUAUCGUUUCUAGUGUGUAUCCUAUGCAUAUUUCAUUGGCGGUUGUAAAAUUGCUGGUGCCCCGUGUAUGGGUGUGACGUCAGAGUCAGUUUGAAUUGCGGGAGAUGGGUAGUGAGGAGGUGCGUCACUUUUUGUGAAAGUUACAGCUCGCUAUCUAGUAGCCGUGGUUGAGACUGAGGUGCC